rnacentral:rRNA from 1 species
AUGUAUGCUUCAUAUUCACUGUCUCUUCUUGUGUUUUUUUAUACCUGCAACUUCUCUCAUGUUUUGUGUUUGUUACAUCAUUAUUUUACUCUUUUUACCUUACCUUGUGUGCAGAAAACUGCUGUCAAUUAUCUUACUAGACCCAUUAGGUUCUUUCAUCAAUUGGAAGAGUUAUUCUUGGAUCAAUCUCAUGCCGAUGGCUCACUUUCACUUGACCAAACCACUGUUAAUGCGGAUGAUGGUAGUGAUGACAGCGAGGAUGUGAGGGAACUUGAAGGAAAUCUAAUUCCAACAGACAGUGAUGAAGCUGACUCUGACACUAUUGAUCGUCGAAGUCCUAAAGUCGACUUGGAUGGAAAUCCAUUAAACAAGAAGCGCAAGUGUGCAUCAUCAUCACCUUCCAAGAAGCCAACCAAGGGCAAAGCAAACAAGAAGGGCAAGGUAUCUAAUGAUGAUAUGGUAACCAGUAUCAAGAAGCUAGCUGAAUCCCUUGCAUCCCCUAUUGUGUCUGUGCAACCAAUGCCACAUGCAGAUCCUUAUGCAAAUCUUUGGAAGCGGAUCAAUGCCCUUACCAUCCCAGCUAAGGAUAAACUUGAGAUUGUUGCUUAUCUAUCCAAGCCAGACCAAGAUAUCUUUCGUAGCUAUCUUAACUAUGCUGAUGAACCAAUUCUUCGAGAGUGGGUCAUUAGCUACUUUGAGCCUCAGCUUCAUGAAGGUGGCAAUGAUGUAUCUGCGGCUGCUCACUGA